AGAAAUGUUUAUUAACAACUUUUAUAUCAGUAAGAAUUUUUUUUUAAUAAUAAAUAGCCAGCAGCCCCAGCCGCUUGUAGCAGACAGUCGUUUUUAUGGUUUUUUUUCACUAAAACCGACUCAAAAAAUUUAUUUUUCAAUGAAUUUUUGAUUUUCUUGUUGGAACAUCUUCUGGGAAUGUUUAUUAACAAGUUUUAUAUUUGCAAGAAUUUUUUUUUGAAAAAUUAAUAGUCAGCAGCCCCAGCCGCUUGUAGCAGACAGUCGUUUUUUUGGUUUUUUUUCACUAAAACCGACUCAAAAAAUUUAUUUUUCAAUGAAUUUUUGAUUUUCUUGUUGGAAAAUCUUCUGGGAAUGUUUAUUAACAAGUUUUAUAUAUGCAAGAAUUUUUUUGGGAAAAAUUAAUAGCCAGCAGCCCCAGCCGCUUGUAGCAGACAGUCGUUUUUUAGGUUUUUUUUCACUAAAACCGACUCAAAAAAUUUAUUUUUCAAUGAAUUUUUGAUUUUCUUGUUGGAAAAUCUUCUGGGAAUGUUUAUUAACAAGUUUUAUAUUUGCAAGAAUUUUUUUUUGAAAAAUUAAUAGUCAGCAGCCCCAGCCGCUUGUAGCAGACAGUCGUUUUUUUGGUUUUUUUUCACUAAAACCGACUCAAAAAAUUUAUUUUUCAAUGAAUUUUUGAUUUUCUUGUUGGAAAAUCUUCUGGGAAUGUUUAUUAACAAGUUUUAUAUUUGCAAGAAUUUUUUUUUGAAAAAUUAAUAGUCAGCAGCCCCAGCCGCUUGUAGCAGACAGUCGUUUUUUUGGUUUUUUUUUCACUAAAACCGACUCAAAAAAUUUAUUUUUCAAUGAAUUUUUGAUCUUCUUGUUGGAAAAUCUUCUGGUAAUGUUUAUUAACAAGUUUUAUAUACGCAAGAAUUUUUUUGGGAAAAAUUAAUAGCCAGCAGCCCCAGCCGCUUGUAGCAGACAGUCGUUUUUUUGGUUUUUUUUUCACUAAAACCGACUCAAAAAAUUUAUUUUUCAAUGAAUUUUUGAUUUUCUUGUUGGAAAAUCUUCUGGGAAUGUUUAUUAACAAGUUUUAUAUUUGCAAGAAUUUUUUUUUGAAAAAUUAAUAGUCAGCAGCCCCAGCCGCUUGUAGCAGACAGUCGUUUUUUUGGUUUUUUUUUCACUAAAACCGACUCAAAAAAUUUAUUUUUCAA